rnacentral:misc_RNA from 1 species
UCCGGCUUGUCACCGGCGGUCUCGUCAGAGUUCCCAGCAUUACCUGUUGGCAACAGACGACAAGGGUUGCGCUCGUUGCGGGACUUAACCCAACAUCUCACGACACGAGCUGACGACAGCCAUGCACCACCUGUCACUGGUCCAGCCGAACUGAAAGAGGGCGUCUCUGCCCCCCGCGACCAGGAUGUCAAGGGGUGGUAAGGUUCUUCGCGUUGCGUCGAAUUAAACAACAUGCUCCACCGCUUGUGCGGGUCCCCGUCAAUUCCUUUGAGUUUUAACCUUGCGGCCGUAUUCCCCAGGCGGUGUGCUUAAUGCUUUCGCUGCGUCACCGAAGCCUUAAGGCUCCAACAACUAGCACACAUCGUUUACGGCGUGGACUAC